AAGAUAAAGACAAAAC
rnacentral:sRNA from 1 species